rnacentral:rRNA from 1 species
UUGGCCUCAAAUCAGGUAGGAC